CCUACGGGAGGCAGCAGUGAGGAAUAUUGGUCAAUGGUCGGGAGACUGAACCAGCCAAGCCGCGUGAGGGAGGAAGGUACAGAGUAUCGUAAACCUCUUUUGUCAGGGAACAAAGACUGGGACGCGUCCCCGGAGGAGUGUACCUGAAGAACAAGCAUCGGCUAACGCCGUGCCAGCAGCCGCGGUAAUACGGAGGAUGCGAGCGUUAUCCGGAUUUAUUGGGUUUAAAGGGUGCGCAGGCGGUCUGUUAAGUCAGCGGUCAAAGCCCGGGGCUCAACCCCGGCCCGCCGUUGAAACUGGCAGUCUCGAGUUGGAGAGAAGUAUGCGGAAUGCGCGGUGUAGCGGUGAAAUGCAUAGAUAUCGCGCAGAACUCCGAUUGCGAAGGCAGCAUGCCGGCUCCACACUGACGCUGAGGCACGAAAGCGUGGGUAUCGAACAGGAUUAGAUACCCUAGUAGUC
rnacentral:rRNA from 1 species